rnacentral:misc_RNA from 1 species
AGAAUUAUUACAGUUCGUCUUGGAAAUGGAAACAGCAAUAAAGCCUUUCGUAUUCAUAAAUAAUGAAUUGUACAAUGAAGCUUGUUUCGGGUGUCUGAUUUGUUUUAGCAGCAUCCGACCCAAAGGUUGAUGGAAAAGCUAAAUGACAAAGCUAAUGGAAUAGCUAAUAGGAAAAAGGAAAAGCUUUAGUGAAAUGGAAACUG